rnacentral:rRNA from 1 species
AUUGAACGCUGGCGGCAGGCUUAACACAUGCAAGUCGAGCGGGGGAAGGUAGCUUGCUACCGGACCUAGCGGCGGACGGGUGAGUAAUGCUUAGGAAUCUGCCUAUUAGUGGGGAACAACAUCUCGAAAGGGAUGCUAAUACCGCAUACGUCCUACGGGAGAAAGCAGGGGAUCUUCGGAACUUGCGCUAAUAGAUGAGCCUAAGUCAGAUUAGCUAGUUGGUGGGGUAAAGGCCUACCAAGGCGACGAUCUGUAGCGGGUGUGAGAGGGUGAGCCGCCUAGCUGGGACGGGGACCCGGCCCAGACUCCUACGGGAGGCAGAAGGGGGGAAUAUUGGACAAAGGGGGGAACCCUGAUCCAGCCAUGACGCGUGUGUGAAGAAGGCCUUAUGGUUGUAAAGGACUUUAAGCGAGGAGGAGGCUACUUUAGUUAAUACCUAGAGAUAGUGGACGUUACUCGCAGAAUAAGCACCGGCUAACUCUGUGCCAGCAGCCGCCGUAA